NNNNNNNNNNNNNNCAAUGCUGGAAUGGAACUAAUUUCUUAGCCUUAGUGGUACAUUUACCAACCUUUGUCCCUGUGCCUGUUGAGGCAGAUCCAGAGAAGUUCCCAAUCAUGAGUCUUGUCCGGCAGAAGAGAGAUUACAGCCAUUGUGGUGGCAAUCUCCAUUAGUGUGGUUGCUGCAACAGCUGCUGGGGUUGCCAUGGCAACCACAGUCCAAACAGGCACAGCCCUAAGUCAAUUGUCAUCCACAGUGGCAGAUGCUGUUAAUCUUCAUACCUCUGCUAGUGCCCAGUUGAAGGGCUUGAAGGGCGGAUUAAUGGUUGCUAACCAACGCCUCGAUCUUGUAGAGGAAAGAUUGGAUAUUCUCUUUCAAAUGGCCCAAUUGGGAUGUGAAAGAAAAUUGGGGGUGCUUUGCAUUACCAGUGUGCAGUAUGAAAUUUUUACCCAAGCAGCAAAUUUGUCUAGGUGAUUGUCAUUGUAUCUUGCAGGAAAUUGGUCAGAAGGAUUUGACGAGACUCUCGAGUCCUUGAGGGCAGCAGUGUUGGCUAUCAAUUCAAGUGGACCUGUCGCUAACAGAGGGACUCUCCUCCUGGAUUUCUUCAGCCUUUUCUUAUUUUAAAGAGUGGGUGGGAGUUGUUUUGUUUGGCGCAGCCUUAUGUUGUGGCCUAGUGUUCAUGCUUUGGUUGGUCUGCAAGCUCAGAUCUCAACAGAAACGUGACAAGGUCGUGAUCACUCAAGCACUUGUGGCCAUUGAACAAGGGGCCUCCCCUGAAAUUUGGCUAUCCAUGCUUAAGACUUAAUUGGCAUCUGAGUUCUCUGCUCUUGCACCCCACAGAUCUGCGGAUCCAUUGCACUGGGAUGAGAGAGACUCAAUGAUCAUUAUCAGCCCUUGCACAUCACUGAGGUUUCUUCAUUGCACGCAACAGGGUGAUCAUGAUUUCUCCGCUAAAAUUUUUCCUUAAAACCUGGCUGGCGGGCUGGUGAGAUGGCUCAGUGGGUAAGAGCACCCAACUGCUCUUCCGAAGGUCCAGAGUUCAAGUCCCAGCAACCACAUGGUGGCUCACAACCAUCCGUAACGAGAUUUGAUUCCCUUUUCUGGAGUGUCUGAAGACAGCUACAAUGUACUUACAUAUAAUAAAUAAAUAAAUCUU
ensembl:lincRNA Gm42851 predicted gene 42851